ACCUCUCACCUUUGACGGUUUUGUAAUAGAACUGUUCAAAUGCGUGGACAUGGGCGCCUGCCUGGUGAACAACCUUAUGGCUCGCCUGAAAAGCAUUAGCUUGGAUCUACCUGUCAGACCUGAGGCGUAAUAAGUUAUUCGUCUCUAGACUUGGCUUGUAGCCUGCUUCUAAUCAUCACUUUAUAUGAA
rnacentral:misc_RNA from 1 species